UGCCAGCAGCCGCGGUAAUACGGGGGGGGCAAGCGUUGUUCGGAAUUACUGGGCGUAAAGGGCGCGUAGGCGGGCGGAUAAGUCUCUCGUGAAAGCCCACGGCUCAACCGUGGAAUUGCGGGAGAUACUAUUCGUCUUGAGUCCGGGAGAGGUGUGUGGAAUUCCCAGUGUAGCGGUGAAAUGCGUAGAUAUUGGGAGGAACACCGGUGGCGAAGGCGACACACUGGACCGGUACUGACGCUGAGGCGCGAAAGCCAGGGGAGCAAACGGGAUUAGAUA
rnacentral:rRNA from 1 species